rnacentral:rRNA from 1 species
UAUCUCUGUAGAGUCUGCAUAUCAAUAAGCGGAGGAAAAGAAACUAACAAGGAUUCCCUUAGUAACGGCGAGUGAAGCGGGAAGAGCUCAAAUUUGAAAUCUUCAAGGUUUUACCUUGACGAAUUGUAGUUUAAAGAAGUGUUUUCUGUUGAAGUUUCGGUAAAAGUUCUUUGGAAUAGGACAUCAUAGAGGGUGAGAAUCCCGUAUUUGACCGUUAUUUUCAGCUGUGUGAUACACUUUCAAAGAGUCGGAUUGUUUGGGAAUGCAGUCCAAAAUGGGUGGUAAAUUUCAUCUAAAGCUAAAUAUUGGCGAGAGACCGAUAGCGAACAAGUACCGUGAGGGAAAGAUGAAAAGAACUUUGAAAAGAGAGUUAAACAGUACGUGAAAUUGUCAAAAGGGAAGCGUUUGACACCAGUGUUGUUUUCUCGAAAAUCAAUUAAAAAUGGCUUGAUUUGUGUUGUAUUGACCUUAAAAGCUUUCUUCACUUUUUUCAUGUCUUUUUUAAUGCACUUUUCGUUUAACAAGUCAACAUCAGUUUCUUUUGUUGUAAAAAGGUCAUUGGAAGGUGGCUUUCUUUUCGGAGAAAGUGUUUAUAGCCUUUGACUUCUGCAAUCGGAGAGACUGAGGUCUGCAGCGUAGAUCCUUCUGGAUUAGAUUCAUUUGUGCUAAGUUACAACCGUUUAUAGACAACUUGUUGACUAUAUUCGAUCCUGUUAGCUUACUCGCUUAUGUAAUUUUACCUACGCUUAGGAUGUUGAAGAUGUAGCACAUCAU